AGCAGCCGCGGUAAUUCCAGCUCCAAUAGCGUAUAUUAAAGUUGUUGCAGUUAAAAAGCUCGUAGUUGAAUUUCGGGGUCAGUAGGUCGGUCGUGCCACAGGUAUGCACUGGUCUCACCGAUUCCUCCUUCCUGAUGAACCGUAAUGCCAUUAAUUUGGUGUUGCGGGGAAACUGGACUGUUACUUUAGAAAAAAUUAGAGUGUUUAAAGCAGGCUAACGCUUGAAUACAUUAGCAUGGAAUAAUGAAAUAGGACGUUCGAUUCUAUUUUGUUGGUUUCUAGGAUUGACGUAAUGAUUAAUAGGGAUAGUUGGGGGCAUUAGUAUUCAAUUGUCAGAGGUGAAAUUCUUGGAUUUAUUGAAGACUAACUACUGCGAAAGCAUUUGCCAAGGAUGUUUUCAUUAAUCAAGAACGAAAGUUAGGGGAUCGAAGACGAUCAGAUACCGUCGUAGUCUUAACCAUAAACUAUGCCGACUAGGGAUCGGAUGAUGUUAAUUUUUAAUGUACUCAUUCGGCGCCUU
rnacentral:rRNA from 1 species